rnacentral:RNase_MRP_RNA from 1 species
AAGCACGGCUUCGCAGCGCACACACGGGGAGCUCGCUCCCAUCCACGCUGCGGGGAAAGUCCCCGUGCCUUAGGUCAGAGAGUGUCAGCGGGAGACCGCAAGGCCUUGGCUUGCAUGCAGGCAGUG